UGGGUCCCGUGUGAUUGGU
rnacentral:piRNA from 1 species